AUUUUUCCCUGAGGCAUGGGGAUGGUGUAAAGGAAGCAGAAAUAUUCAUUUUCUGAAGUCAGCAUCCAUAAACAUUUAACCUAUUGCAAUCAGCAUGGUUAUUUUAAUUGCAUAGUCAAUUUUCCAGACAUUUAUUUUGUUUCUACUACCCAUUCCUUUAUGUUUUUAACAGGUUUUAACUACAUCAUGAGGCUUUCCAUUCACUACAGUUUGGAAUGGCAUUUUCACCUUGGCAUUUUAAGGCUCCAGACCAUCUUGGUGGCCUUCUGCUGGAUCAUCUUCAGGUUCUCCACAUUCCUUUCCAUCAGGGAAACCAAAACUAGAAGAGCUGCUGUUCAACCAAGUGCUUCCCAAAUUCCCCAGCUAGUAUGUGACAUUUCUUUCUUCCAGGAAAUGUAUUUAUGUAGACAUCCAACCAGAAUGAAGACCUGUAAGAAGUUCCAUGGAAGAACUGCAGAACUGAAAAGGAGUAUAACCUACAAAUUCUUAUUGACUAGAAGUCUGUGAGAUAAUCAGAAGAUAUGGCUCUGCAUCAUAUGUAUGUACAGAAAAGGUUGAAGGAGGUGAUCCUCCUCUUCUUCUCUGCACUGCUGAGAU
rnacentral:lncRNA from 1 species